rnacentral:rRNA from 1 species
ACCGCGGCGCGGCCUAUACUGCAAGUCGAGCGAACUUAGUAAGGGAGCUUGCUUCCUUUGACGGUUUACCGGGGGAACGGGGUGGAAUUACCCGUGGGGUACCCUGCCUAUAGUUUGGGAUUACUCCGGGAAACCGGGGGUAAUACCGAAUAAUUUAAUCCAACUCAUGGCGAAAUAGUGAAAAAAGGUUUCGGCUGUCGCUAUAGGAUGGGCCCGCGGCGCAUUAUCUUGUUGGUGAGGUAACGGCUCACCAAGGCGACGAUGCGUAGCCGACCUGAGAGGGUGAUCGGCCACACUGGGACUGAGACACGGCCCACACUCCUACGGGAGGCAGCAGUAGGGAAUCUUCCACAAUGGGCGAAAGCCUGAUGGAGCAACGCCGCGUGAGUGAAGAAGGAUUUCGGAUCGUAAAACUCUGUUGUAAGGGAAAAACAAGUGCAGUAGUAACUGGCUGUACCUUGACGGUACCUUAUUAGAAAGCCACGGCUAACUACGUGCCAGCAGCCGCGGUAAUACGUAGGUGGCAAGCGUUGUCCGGAAUUAUUGGGCGUAAAGCGCGCGCAGGCGGUUUCUUAAGUCUGAUGUGAAAGCCCCCGGCUCAACCGUGGAGGGUCAUUGGAAACUGGGAGACUUGAGUGCACAAGAGGAUAGCGGAAUUCCACGUGUAUCGGUGAAAUGCGUAUAGAUAUGGAGGAACACCAGUGGCGAAAGCGGCUCUCUGGCCUGUAACUGACACUGAGGCGCGAAAGCGUGGGGAGAAAACAGGAUUAUAUACCCUGGUAUUCCACGCCUUAAACGAUGAGUGCUAAGUGUUAGGGGGUUUCCCCCCCUUAUGGCGGAACCUAAAGCAUUAAACCUCCGCCUGGGGAGGAGGGUCGC